rnacentral:misc_RNA from 1 species
GGAUGAUGAUAUGCUAAUGAUCUUGACCAGUUUGCUUUGCGUUAUUCAAGCUUGGCUUAUUUAUUGGCAAAAGCAAAAAACCUUGUUAUGUGAGUAUUCCAGAGCAUCUACUGGAGUAAUAAUCUUACUGCCACAGCAAUUAAACUUGGGUUUUAACACUUGGGCAUCCAUCCGAAAGUGGUAGAAGCAGCCUGCUGAUGAGUUCUGUUCCGGAGAAAGAUGAUGCUCAAUUAAAGGAUUAUUUGGUCUCAUCAAACUCUAAUUUGUUGACAUAAACCUUGUGAAAUUAUGCUGCUAGAGCAUCUAAAUUGGUUUCAUAGAUUGAGAGGUGGACACUCGCCAUUUGAGUUGAACCAGAAUAAAAAGGCUUUUGAACAUUCUUAUACCAUAACUAGGCUGCUACGGUAAUUUUAAUAUUUCUUUCCCAAUCCCCAACGUAAGACCCACUAUAUUCUCAGUUUACUUGAUCCUGAUUAUUUACAUAAGACCCACUAUAUUCUCAGUUACUACAGUUUACUUGAUUCUGAUUAUUUUUCUUACCUACUCUUUUUCCUUAAUUUCAGCAUUGUUCGUCUUUCGCAUUGGCGAACCUUCUGCCGCUGCUGAUUCUGAUUCUUCAUUUGUCGCUUUGCUUUCAUUACUUUCUGUCUUUUUCCUCUCUUUUUCACCUCUCUUCCUGCACUCCAGGAACUCAAUGAGACCUCUUAGCAACGCAGGUUCCUCACUUUUCAUAAGCUGCUCACCUAUUUCUGCAGGAGUUUCCUUUGUUGUCUCUAUCAACUCUUCAACCUCUAUGAAAAGUGGGUGUUCUGUAAUCCCCAGGUAAUUGGAUACUAGCAUUUUGUACACACAUGGAGUGCAGGACGUAAAUGUGCACAUCCAUUUGACCUGGGCGC